AGUGGAGACCGCCGGGGUCGAACUCGGAGGAAGGUGGGGAGUGACGUCAAGUCAUCAUGCCCCUUACUGUCCAGGGCUUCACGCAUGCUACAAUGGCUGGUACAGAGAGUGGCGAGCCUGUGAGGGUGAGCGAAUCUCGGAAAGCCGGUCUCAGUUCGGAUUGGGGUCUGCAACUCGACCUCAUGAAGUCGGAGUCGCUAGUAAUCGCAGAUCAGCAACGCUGCGGUGAAUACGUUCCCGGGCCGUCGACGCGGCCG
rnacentral:rRNA from 1 species